UUGGGCAGGCCUCACGUUAUUCGGGAGUCUCAGCUACCGUUGUGCCGCCAUCUUAAGUCCUGGCUAUAGCUUCACAGGGACGUGAAGCUGCUUGGGAUCCUCUUGCGUUUGGGCGAGAGAGGCCUUGCCCGGGCGCGCAAGGUAUCCUGGGAAAGGGGAAGUAAUCCGGAAAUACAAACCUUAGAAGCUCCAGGAGAUUGGUGCUGCCACCCGGCAUCUUUUUAAAAAGCCCUAGUUUCCACUGGCGGUGACGACUACACCGGAUCCUGUAGUUUCUGUGGAAACCUCUAAGACAUGACAUCUAAGAAAUUUGUUAUUAAAAACCCAUUUCUUGUUCUGCUAGAAUGUCCCCUCCUCAACCUACUUGCACAAAAAGUCAUAGGCCCAUCUAGAGAACUAAAAGAGAAGUAGAAUUAGCCAUGGUGGUGGGUCUACACUUUUUUCUUUGUACUCUGUAUAGAAAUGAUUAACAUGAAGACAGUUUUACCAUAUCGGUCAAAUUAAAGGCAAUGAUUUUAUUCUCAUGUUUAAUGAAGCUUAGCUGGUUUCCAAGGAUUGCUGUACUAGUUUCCCUGAAGUGUUUUACAAGCAGUAUUUAAUCCAGUCUCUGAUUUAAAUUUCCUUUUUUUCCAGUUCUGCUUUACCCUACGUCUUUCAUAAGUAAAAACACAAAGAAUGCCAUAAAAAUGUCCUGAAUGUUGAUACCUAAUUCCUAAGUAGGUGGUGAUAUAAGAUUAUGAAUGGCAAACCUUGAAAAAAUACCACCACCAUGUAAAGCCUUAAUAGG